AUUGAUGCAUCGCAAACCUAGGGAAACUUAGGGACGCAAAACUAAAGGACCUGUAAAAUGGUAGCCAGUUGCCGAA
rnacentral:ncRNA from 1 species